rnacentral:rRNA from 1 species
UACAGAGGGUGCAAGCGUUAAUCGGAAUUACUGGGCGUAAAGCGUGCGUAGACGGUUAUUUAAGUCGGAUGUGAAAGCCCCGGGCUCAACCUGGGAAUUGCAUUCGAGACUGAAUAGCUAGGGUACGGUAGAGGGAAGUGGAAUUUCCGGUGUAGCGGUGAAAUGCGUAGAUAUCGGAAGGAACAUCAGUGGCGAAAGCGACUUCCUGGACCAGUACCGACGUUCAGGCACGAAAGCGUGGGGAGCAAACAGG